GUGAGGAGACCAGGCUGUAUGAUUGGUGAUUGAGGUUAAUAGCGCUGA
rnacentral:snoRNA from 1 species